rnacentral:misc_RNA from 1 species
GAGGGGAAAUAAUCUAAAUAUAAUUUAAUUUCUCAAAAUAGGAUCUAGCAUUCACACCCAGAUGUGCAGAAGCUGUAAAAAUAAUGAUAAGGAGAACAAUACAUGCACCAAUCACAUAGUUGUAACAAAAUUAGUUUCCAUCAACAUGCUUGAGAAUGUAGCCAUGUGAUCCCAGUCUUCAAGAUGGCUUCUUUAAGAACCACAGCAAGCUGAUUUUUGGGCAGCUUGGUUGGCCCCUCCUGCCUGGUCCGGUUGGUUAAUUUUGAUCGUCUGUGGCUGCAAAAUCCAACACGAGAAUGCUUCAUAUAUCAGAAAACACGCAGCGCGUUAGAAACUCAAGCCUAGGUUUGGGAUAAUUUUAACAGCAUGAAAUACUGAUACUCAAUUUCAAUAGAAUGAGCAAUAUUCCAUAUUUGACUAUCAGCGACAAACCGAAAAAUAAAAUUCAGAAAUUAGAUAAAACAAACCAAUCAAAAAGAUUAUAAUGUAGAACCCAUUUCUCCUCUUUUCCUUGAUACACAAAUUUCGAUUUCCCAGAUUCGCUUACUAUCCAUGAUUAGCAAAUUCUGAGACAUCAAUUGGAUGAAUAACAACUAGAAUUUGAGAAACUAAUGAAGCAAUAAAUUUACCAUGAAUAACAUUUACAUUGAAAUUGCAGUUUUACACGUUGUGAAAAUUGUGGCACUCAAAGGCAAAAGUUCUAAUAAUUCGUACCUCAGCCUUUGAAUCGGUAUCUGCAAGCCUUUGCUUGAUAUCCCUAGCUAUCGAAAAGAAAACCUCUUCCACAUUUAAAUUUGUCUUUGCACUCGUCUCAAAAAACUUGAUGCCAUAUUCAUCUGCAAGAGCCUGGCCCUUUGAGGUAGGAACAGCCCUUUUGCUUUCAUCCAUGUCUGCCUUGUUACCCACCAAUAUCUUGUUCACAUUGUCAGAAGCAUGCUGUUCAAUAUUACGGAUCCAAUUCCUAAUGUCUAGACAUAAGAUAAAUAACUAAAUGAACAAGUAUAAUUACAGAGAAUAUAAAGAUAGAGAAGACAAUAAAUAACAAGUUAAGAUCAUUAUUCCACAAGUAAUAAUGAUAGCAGUAAUAAUGAUAGCUUCACCAAUGAUAAGGUCCACAAUUAUAUAGUUUGAUAGAAAAUAAUACAAAUAAUUCAGCAAUCCAAUCAAUAAGAAUGAUAGAUGAGAGCAUGGAAAUCUAAACUUCAGAAGAUAGAAGUAAAAGAAGUAAUUACUAUUAAAAGAUGAUUCAUCAGUGACAUCAUACACGAGCAAAAUACCCAUAGCUCCACGGUAAUAAGCAAUCAUACAAAGCAGCUCAAUCUAUAUUUCAACAAUUUCUUUGUAAAGUCAUCCCUUUACUUCAAUUCCAAGUUAAAACAGAGUAACAGACCAAUUCUGGGGUACAUUGCACGCCUUCAUGCUUCAGUUUUUGACAAGAGACUCCAACCAAAGUCAGUCUAAGGCUGAGAAGCUAGGAAGCAUGCAUAUGGCAAAACUUGCAGGUGUCCCUUCAUCAAAUCUAUAUUGAAUAUGAAAAAUGUUCUAAAUAUACAGCUGCAUUUAAACUUUCAAGGAGGAAAAAAAGAGAAUAUAAUCUCAAUAUUGAAUACAAUAGGGAUAUGGUUGAACAAUAUGCCACUAUCCCUCAUAUCCUUCAAGGUCAGAGCCUCCUCUGCUGGAAAAAAUCUUGAUUCCAUUGGUGGAAAUCAGGAGAUAAAAGAUCAGCAUUUGUUCAACAUAGGAGGGCAGUUGUAAUAGUUCGAAAACGUUCUUGACCAGCAGUAUCCCAAAUUUGCAAUUUGAUCCGUUUUCCAUCAAGCUCAAUUGUUCUUAUCUUAAAAUCAAUGCCAAUGGUUGUAAUGAAACUAGUCGUAAAGGAACCAUCUGAGAAACGCAAAAGAAGGCAACUCUUACCCACACUUGCUAAGUCAUCUAAAAUAUAUAACUCCAACAAACAGGCAAGCUCAUGUGGUGCCAUAUGCAUCGUCCUGGCAUUGGAAAACCUGACAUGGCUGUUUCCAUUCCAGCGGCCACUUCAUUCAGUUCAUGUAAUUUGGUAUAUUAAUCAUUAAUGAAAGACAACUACUGCAAAAAUUAUUAUAAUGAAAGUAAUUUGUACCAGCUUACACUAUGGAUGCUAUCCAAUUCAUUUAAAUUUUGACCAAGAGAAGAGCAAACAUGUAUAGUUCUAUACCUGAACUCCAUAAUCACACAGUUGUCGGCAAUUACUUUAACAUUCCAAUAUUAAGUCACAUGCUUGCAUAAUAAUUAAGAAAAAAAUACCUCAAAAAAUUUAGGAAAAAGUAAAGAGGAGCGGCAUUUAAAUACAUAUACAAGGAGUCAAUGCUGGAAGUAAAAUAGAAAUUAGAUAACGAUUCAGAAGCAAUCAGUAAGAAACAUCAAAUCAAUUAGAUAAUGCACAAGUCCGCUUCAGAAAACAAUGCAUUUGAUAAAAUAUUCAUCACUUUAGAUAUCAUUAAAAAUAGCAAUUUCGAUCAAAAUUUCAUGCUUCCCUGCAUCUAUGCAUCUUCCAACUCCAAAGUCGCCGUAGUGGCCUCCUAAUCACUUCCCAAAACAACCCAUCAGAUAUUGAAUCUAGUGAUAAAUUUUAUGUUCAAUAUUGACCUAAAAAGCUGAGUCAAAGUAAAGCUUAAAACAAGCAUUGUACAAUCAAUCGUUGGAAAUGCGAGUCAUUUUCGUGCCUAAUAGCCAGGAUCCAGAGCACAUACUUGCAAGCAUAUUUCAUCAACUAGUAGACGAUUGAUCAAACAUCAAAUUGAAGAGAAAAACGAGAAGAUAACAUUUCAAUUCAAAUAGAUUCAAACAAUUCCCUGUCACAGAGGUUAGAAAAGUAAAAUCAUACCGCUAUCGCCGAUCAAGAGAAGCUUUAUAAGGUAAUCGUAAUCGGCACGAGCUCUUGCAGGUGGAGCAGCCAUUGAUGAAUUACUAUCACAAAGCCCAAUCAGAACAGAAAAAAUAGAAACCAAAAAAAAAAAAAUUAAACCCUAGAGAGAAAAUGCAUCAGUGAACAUAAAUUAACAUGAACGAUGAAGGACAGUGAAAACUGAGAAAAAAAUAUAUAAAAUGCAAAUUAAUCGAAGAAUAAGUACCAGAUCGGGAAGGUGAGAGUGAGAUCUAUCUAAUUAGAGGAGAUUAGUAAUGAAGAAGGAAAGUGUCUUCCAGUUCAAGCACGUCAGCACCGGCCGGCCAUUGAAAAAUUUUUAGAGAGAGAAAGAGAACAGAAGAGAGGAUUGUUAAGGGAGAAACUUCGAUGCAACUUUUAAGUAUAGUAUUCACCUUAUGGCCGUUCGAUUAUGGAUUGUAUUAGAUCUGUGUGAUAUCCAACGCUCGAUAUUGAAGUCGAUGAUAAUGCCGAGAUACUGCGGAAUACGAUUUUCUACUAUUCGGGUUACCUGCAACGAUAUCGUUUAAUUUGUAAAGUUCUGAGACGACGUCAUCUACUGCGUUUUAGGUUCGUUUAGCCCAACAGAAGAAUUAUCCUUUCCUUGGGACAGUUUUAUGGUAUUAGAAAGAAGGAUUCCACGGUGAAUCCUUUGUGACCUGCAAAUCCAAGAAAGGGAUUUAAAUGCAAUCUUUAGUGAUUAUAUGUAUAUUGAAAAUAAUGCUCGUAAAAUUUCUGUUCUAUCAGAGUAGAGGGAUCUAAUUAUAUUUAAUGAAGGUAGAGAAUAU